rnacentral:rRNA from 1 species
AGCCAUGCAAGCCAGGCGAAGCAUAUGCGGAGCGGCAGACAGCUCAGUAGUACAGUUAUGAUUUACUCGCGGCAGAGAGACGGAUAACCAUGGUAAGCUAUGGCUAAUACGUGGACAGGCUGCUAGGGUGGUGAGCACAGGCAGCGGACAGGGCGCGGCCGCGACUAAGUUUCUGGCCUAUCAGCUACUGAAGGUAGGGUAAUGGCCUACCUUGGCGACGACGGGUGACGGGGGAUGAGAGUCUGAUUCCGGAGAGGGAGCCUGAGAAACAGCUCCCACGUCUAAGGAUGGCAGCAGGCGCGAAACUUACCCAAUCCCUUGCGGGGGAGGUAGCGAAGAGACAUGGGGUGCGCCCCGAGACCGCACGGAAAAGGAGUGCGGGACGACUGGAGGGCAAGUCUGGUGCCAGCAGCCGCGGUAAUUCCAGCUCCAGUAGCGCAUACAUUUGUUGCUGCAGUUAAAACGUGCGUAGUUGGCCCGACCUUUUGGAGGUGCUGUGAGGAAAAUGCUGUGCUCAAGGCGGCAGGCAGCAUGGACACGUGGGCGAGAGGAACAGACGACGGCGGCAGUAUCGGGCAGCGAGAGGUGAAAAUCAGUGACCUGCCGGGGACUUUCUGAAGCGGAGGCGGCCGCCGGGGAUGUAUCCGUUGAUCAAGGACGUAAGCCGGAGGAUCGAAGAUGAUUAGAUACCGUCGUAGUUCCGGCUGUAAACGAUGCCGACUAGGCGAGGCCUGCGGGCUGUGCCUUAGGAGAAAUCAAGAGUUUUUGGGCUCUGGGGAUAGUACGGUCGCAAGACAGAAACUUAAAGAAAUU